rnacentral:rRNA from 1 species
AUUGAACGCUGGCGGCAGGCCUAACCCAUGCAAGUCGGGCGAGCGGCGGACGGGUGAGUAAUGUAUGGGGAUCUGCCUGAUGGCGGGGGAUAACUCCUGGAAACGGUAGCUAAUACCGCAUACCAUCAGAUGAACCCAUAUGGGAUUAGCUAGUAGGUAAGGUAACGGCUUACCUAGGCGACGAUCCCUAGCUGGUCUGAGAGUAUGAUCAGCCACACUGGGAGUGAGACACGGCCCAGACCCCUACGGGAGGCAGGAGUGGGGAAUUGUGCAAAAUGGGGGAAACCCGGAUGCACCAUUGCCGGGUGUAUGAAGAAGGCUUUGGGGUGGGAAAGUCCUUUCAGGCGGGAGGCGUGACCGACAGAAGAAGCACCGGCUAAUUCCGUGCAAGCAGCAGCGGUAAUA